CGAAGACCAAAUUGGAAAAAUAAGAUCAUGAAUGAGAUUCAAAAUUCCAGCACGAAGAAUGCAAACGAGACAAAACAGGAUCCCAUAACAUCAUCCAGUUAUCAAAUAAUAAGCCGUAAGCUUAUUAAAUCACGGUCAGCUAACUAUUAACUCAUAAACUAGUAAAUUAAGAGAGAAUAAGAAGGGGGGCAAAAAAGCUUACACAUCAAAACACAAAAGAAGCUACCUACGACCUUCAAAUGUUCAAUUAUACAAAACAGAGACCAAAAAUGAAAGUUUUUCAAUAUUUAUAAAAUUCAAAACAGGAAAUCAUAAAGCCAGAAAAGAGAAAUGACAAGAAAACAAACAAAGCUGAAUUGAGCCCUAAAUAGUUCGAUACUGUAGCCGGCAAAGCAAUUAACUUGUCAUCAUCAUCAAAAGAAGAAGAACAGUACCUGAGUAGAGCGAAGAUAACCAG
rnacentral:misc_RNA from 1 species